GACGAACGCUGGCGGCGUGCCUAAUACAUGCAAGUCGAACGCAGUUGCGAACGGGUGAGUAACGCGUAGGUAACUGCCUCAUAGCGGGGGAUAACUAUUGGAAACGAUAGCUAAUACCGCAUACUGUUAGAUGGACCUGCGUUGUAUUAGCUGGUUUGUGAGGUAAAGGCUCACCAAAGCGACGAUACAUAGCCGACCUGAGAGGGGGCUCGGGCAAACUGGGACUGAGACACGGCCCAGACUCCUACGGGAGGCAGCAGGAGGGAAUUUUCGGAAAUGGACGGAAGUCUGACCGAGCAACGCCGCGUGAGUGAAGAAGGGUUUCGGAUCGUAAAGCUCUGUUGUUAGAGAAGCGGUAACUAAACAGAAAGGGACGGCUAACUACGUGCCAGCAGCCGCGGUAAUUC
rnacentral:rRNA from 1 species